CGUUAACGCUAGCGGGAUGCAUCAGGCAUGCAAGUCGAACGAGAAAAUUGUCUUCGGAUGAUGAGUACAGUGGCGCACGGGUGAGUAAUACUUAAGUAAUCUACCCUUUUGCUGGGGACAACUGAGGGAAACUUCAGCUAAUACCGAAUAGUCCAAAAAUUUCUUCGGAUUUUUUUGGCAAAGCUUCGGCGCGAAAGGAGGAGCUUAAGUCUGAUUAGCUAGUUGGUAGGGUAAAAGCCUACCAAGGCGACGAUCAGUAGCUGGUCUUAGAGGAUGUCCAGCCACACUGGAACUGAGACACGGUCCAGACUCCUACGGGAGGCAGCAGUGGGGAAUAUUGGACAAUGGGCGAAAGCCUGAUCCAGCCAUGCCGCGUGUGUGAAGAAGGUCUUCGGAUUGUAAAGCACUUUAAGUUGGGAGGAAGGGUAUUCAUCUAAUACGUGGGUACUUUGACGUUACCAACAGAAUAAGCACCGGCUAACUCUGUGCCAGCCGCCGCCGUAACAC
rnacentral:rRNA from 1 species